rnacentral:rRNA from 1 species
UGGGGAGUUUUCCGCAAUGGGCGAAAGCCUGACGGAGCAAUACCGCGUGAGGGAUGACGGCCUAUGGGUUGUAAACCUCUUUUUUCAGGGAGGAAUCAAUGACGUGUACCUGAAGAAUAAGCAUCGGCUAACUCCGUGCCAGCAGCCGCGGUAAGACGGAGGAUGCAAGUGUUAUCCGGAAUCACUGGGCGUAAAGCGUCUGUAGGUGGUUUAAUAAGUCAACUGUUAAAUCUUGAGGCUCAACUUCAAAAUCGCAGUCGAAACUAUUAGACUAGAGUAUAGUAGGGGUAAAGGGAAUUUCCAGUGGAGCGGUGAAAUGCGUAGAGAUUGGAAAGAACACCGAUGGCGAAGGCACUUUACUGGGCUAUGACUGACACUCAGAGACGAAAGAUAGGGGAGAAAAUGGGAUAGAUCCCCCCGAGUC